UUGGAUUUAAACCCCAAAAAUAAAGUUUACCCUUUUUUUGAA
rnacentral:tRNA from 1 species